rnacentral:rRNA from 1 species
CUCAGUAACACGUGGAUAACCUGCCCUUAGGAUUGGCAUAACACCGGGAAACUGGUGAUAAUACCGAAUAGACCAUUUAUGCUGGAAUGCUUUUUGGUUCAAAGGCUUCGGCUGCCUAAGGAUGGAUCUGCGGCCUAUCAGGUAGUAGUGGGUGUAAUGUACCUACUAGCCUACGACGGGUACGGGUUGUGAGAGCAAGAGCCCGGAGAUGGAUUCUGAGACAUAAAUCCGGACCCUACGGGGUGCAGCAGGCGCGAAAUCUUUACAAUGCGGGAAACCGCGAUAAGGGGACACUGAGUGCCAGCAUAUUAUGUUGGCUGUCCACAUGUCUAAAAACCAUGUGUUAGCAAGGGCCGGGCAAGACCGGUGCCAGCCGCCGCGGUAACACCGGCGGCCCGAGUGGUGAUCACUUUUAUUGGGUCUAAAGGGUCCGUAGCCGGUUUAAUCAGUCUUCUGGGAAAUCUGACAGCUCAACUGUUAGGCUUUCAGGGGAUACUGUUAAGCUUGGGACCGGGAGAGGUAAGAGGUACUACAGGGGUAGGAGUGAAAUCUUGUAAUCCCUGUGGGACCGCCGGUGGCGAAGGCGUCUUACCAGAACGGGUCCGACGGUGAGGGACGAAAGCUGGGGGCACGAACCGGAUUAGAUACCCGGGUAGUCCCAGCCGUAAACGAUGUUCGCUAAGUGUCAGGGACGGUGCGACCGUUUCUGGUGCCGUAGGGAAGCCGUGAAGCGAACCACCUGGGAAGUACGGCCGCAAGGCUGAAACUAAAG